UUUGGAUGUUUUCCCUUUUCAUUACAGUUUUAAAUAAAGUUCUGGUUCAAAGGCCCAACCCCAGAAAUUGUAAAUCACUACAAAGAUACCAAGUGGAGAUUUGGAAUGAUCCCAGGCUUGGAGAGUGCCUUUCCCUCCCGCUGGCACAGCCAGGCAGCAGCACAGAGCAGCUGAGAGCCAGCAGUGAGUGUGCAAGGCCACUCUUCUUGGAAGAAACACCAAGGAUGGAUAUGGAGGCAGGAACUUCCCAUUUUCACACAGCUGCUUCCUCACCAGGAUGGGAGUCAGGACAUCACCACUAGUACAGAACUAGCCCUGUGACUCCAUGUGAAUAUGGAGAUAUCCAUCAACCAGUGGCUGUUCUGAGACACUGUGACCCAAGCACUGCCUGUUUCCAGCUCCUACUCCUCCGAGGGUUUGUGCUCAUCCUUAAGCUGAAUGCAAGAUAUUUCCAAACAAGUUUAUGAAGGCAAGAAAAGACAACAUCAUAAACAGCACCUGGGAGUCAGGAAGAAGAAUUAUGUUCCCACUCAGGACAGGCUGAGAAGAUUCUCUGUUAUUAGUCACCAAAAAGUCUUCAUGUGGAAAGGUAAAAGACAAUCAGAUGCAAUAACAGCCCUGCUACAUUAAUCUUGCUCUUCAGGAAACUGCAUGCUUUAAAAGGUGAGGUCAUUUGCAGCUUGCAGGAGAGGAACAAUGGAAGCAAAUGGCUGUAUCUACUUUGAGAAGAAUUUUUGAGAAGUACAGACACUGACUCCUGUGUGGCUGUGACUGGACUGCUCCUGGAAAAGGGCCAUUCCCUCCUGAAAACCAGGCUGAAUCUGCUCCAGAAAGGAAAAGCAGAAGCGAGUGAAGGCUAAGGUUGGAUGCAGCCCAGGAGAGAGCUGAGUGCAUUUGCUGCGUAGAAGAGCAGAGAACAGGAGAGGGGGCUGUGCAGCAGGAAAAGUGCUUCCCUCUGCCCUGGAGAUGGGAGACCACAGUGGAAGAGACAGAGCGAGUGGGGAAACAACAUGCUGCUUCUCCAUCUCCUCCCCUGCCCCCAGAAAUCCACCCCAUCCUAUGGGCAACCCUGAGGCUCACAAGUGGUGGAUUAUUUCCAGCUCUGCCACCUCCUUUGCAGUACUGGACAGAUUCUCCUCUCCUGGUGAGGAUUACUCUUAAAUCACAGCACAAGCUAGAGAUAUAGAAUCUCUCUGCACGUUUAUAAAUAGCUCACCUACACAUUUCACAGGAGUGCAAAUGCCAAUAAGCAGUUUUAAUGGUAGCUCAGACAAUGACAAUGGCAGACAAUGAAAAAACUGCCACCUUUCUCCAGCGUGCCCUUUCUUCCCACAUCCAUCAUAAUAAUGGUGACAAUUAAAACCUGGGAGAAAGCCCAGGACACUGACAAUUAGUGACUGCAGGCCAGGCCUGAAACAUGGUCAAGGAUCAGUGGUUACAAGUCUGUGAAACAGGCUGGGCAAGUCAUGAACUGAGCACACAAAUGACACCUCAGGUCCUCGCCUCAUCCUCCCCACAAGCCUGGACCACAUCUCACAUAUUUUCUGCACCACGCCGUGGCCCCUCUCCUGCCCACGCAGCAGGCAGAGCUUUUAACUUGCCAAACAGCUUGGCACAGAUCACAGCAUGGUGGGGAGGAGAGGUUUCAAGGCAUAAACAGAACAAGCCCAGCCUGGCCAGCGGAAGGAGAGGGAUUCAUCACUUACACCGCACCAGGAGCAGCGCGCCCUGGGCAGGACUGCAGCGUCUGGGACGUGCUGCAGAUCAGGGCUGUGCCACCUGGCUGGACCCCGUGAGCCACAAACACAGAGCCACAGCCACAGCCUUCCCUGUGCGUGAGCCAGUGCAGCCAGCGCUUCUGUCUGUCCGUCCGUCCGUCUGUCCUCCACCCCACAGCACAGCCAAGGCCCACCCCUGAGUGCAGGGACAAAACGAGUUGGGUCACUGACCUGCAACCACAUCAGCAGGAACUGGCUGCUCAGAAGGCUCUCUGAGGAAUGUGCUUGUUCUGCUGGAGUUUCUGCCCCAGAUCCUACAAGCCAGCAAGGUCUUGCUAGGUCAUCUGAUAAGCACCAUCUCCAGCAGAACCAGCUCAGGUGCAGCGACUGGUUUCUUCCACAAUUACUAUGAAUUUAGCUGAUUUUAAGCAAAUAUAUUGUAAAUUAUUGUGUGUCUCUGCCUUUGCUCAUAUGUCACUCUAAAAAAAAUCAACUGUAAAACACAGAAAGCUCUUUCAGUCCUUCAGCACACAGAGCACCUUUCUUUCCACUUAUGUCUCUAGCUUUGACAGAAUCAACCACAAAUUAAACUAGAUCCAGCCUGGCCAGCAAAAGGGGACUUCUGCUGGAAGACAGGAUUCAGGAGUGCUCAGUAACAUUAGGAUUUACAGACUGGUCUGAGCCCACAGCACCAGGCGCUGUAAGGAUGAAGUAAACAGCCUCUGCUCCACAGGUUUUUAAAAGCAGCAGCUAAAUGCAGCAGGGAGAAGCAAGGGAAUAAUUAACCAUAUCAUUACACUGCCAUGUAGUGUCUGAUGGAAAUUGCCAUCUUGAAGCAAACUGAUUUCCACCAUUGCUGAUUGUUUGAGGGCUGAGGGUAAUAAGAGUUUUAUUCCACGCUUUCAAGAAAAAGCCUGGAUGUACUUGUGAGAGCAGCAUGCAGGCAGCAGAGAUUGUGGCAUUUGGGGAGGGCUGAUGGCCCUGCACAGUGUAAUGAAGCAUUAAAAAACAAGAAAAGCUGUUGCUGCAGUUCGGGAACAGAUCAAAGGCCGGGAGCACCCCAGGAGUGAAAAGAGGAGCUGAUAACAGGGAACAUGGGUGCGACUGAGCCCUGGAGCACCUUGCUGGUGCAGAUAGCGAGCCUGGGAGUGAGUCACUGACAGAUCAAAUGCCGGGACAACAGAGCUGUGCGUGCCAGCAGGCAGAUCAGGCAGGAGAAAUCCAAGGCUUUAGGCUCUCGCAGCCUUGAAGAACCUCUUCGUGCUUCUGAAAAAUUAAGCCUUGUGAUGGAACCAAAAAUAUUCACGUUUCGUGUGAGUCCCACCUGCAGAUGCUGAAGAACUGCGCUGAGGCCUCUCUCUGGCACGGGACGGCUGCUGCCUCCCACCCAGAGCUGAGUUCCAGCUCCAGCUGCCCUUCGGCCAGCGCUUCAUAAUCUCCAUGAAAUGUCAGAAUCUGCCUGAAUGAGAAAUGGAGAAAUCCUGUGAAAACGCAGCCGAGGCAAUGGUAACGGUAAAAACAUUCAAAAAGGGAAGGAGGUUCUUCCUUCACAGCCCCUCUGCCUAAAUACCUCCAGGUUUUUAGUCAGGAUAAUGGUUUUCACCUCUCCUACCUCCAAAAUCCUGCUGGUGCCAAGCAGCUGCAGUGUUCUAGUACAAAACCCUGGCAGGAGGAGCUCAACUUUGGGUUUCCAAAUCACUGAGGGCAAACAGGGUGGUACUUUGAUCAAGAGGCAGAGGUGCCCUUUAACAGCAGGAGCGGGCUAGGGACCAGCCUUUAAUAUCAAACUUUUUUUGGUGCUGAUUUAAGCCCAGCACC